AUAACAGGUCUGUGAUGCCCUUAGAUGUUCUGGGCCGCACGCGCGCUACACUGAAGGGAUCAGCGUGUCCUUCCCUCUCCGAGAGGAGCGGGUAACCCGUUGAAACCCCUUCGUGAUAGGGAUUGGGGCUUGAAAUUUUUCCCCAUCAACGAGGAAUUCCUAGUAAACGCAAGUCAUCAACUUGCAUUGAUUACGUCCCUGCCCUUUGUACACACCGCCCGUCGCA
rnacentral:rRNA from 1 species